GUCCACGCCGUAACGAUGAGCACUAGGUGUCGCGGUAUUGACCCUGCGGUGCCGACGCUAACGCAUUAAGUGCUCCGCCUGGGACUACGGCCGCAAGGUUAAACUCAAAGGAAUUGACGGGCCCGCACAAGCGGUGGAGCAUGUGGUUCAAUUCGACGCAACGCGAAGAACCUUACCUGGGCUAGACAACGGAGGCCCGCCCCAGAGAUGGGGUUUUCCCUUCGGGGACUUCCGGUUCAGGUGCUGCAUGGCUGUCGU
rnacentral:rRNA from 1 species